AAUCUGUUUCAGGGCGAGGUGUAAUUCCUCACUGGUGGUGACAGGCCAAGACCUUAAGUCCACGAGCCAGAAGGGUACAGAUACAUUUUCACGCAAAUGGAAUCAAAGAGAGUUCGAAAUAUAUCGAUGCUUUUGAAUGCAUUUCAUGAAGAUGCAGUGUACACGGAGGUUGAAUGGGUUGGAAUCCCAUACCAACGGUAUAGUCCGGAUGAAAGAAACGAUGG
rnacentral:ncRNA from 2 species